UACGUAGGGUGCAAGCGUUGUCCGGAAUUAUUGGGCGUAAAGAGCUCGUAGGCGGUUUGUCGCGUCUGCUGUGAAAACCCGAGGCUCAACCUCGGGCCUGCAGUGGGUACGGGCAGACUAGAGUGCGGUAGGGGAGAUUGGAAUUCCUGGUGUAGCGGUGGAAUGCGCAGAUAUCAGGAGGAACACCGGUGGCGAAGGCGGUUCUCUGGGAAUAUCCUGACGCUGAGGAGCGAAAGUGUGGGGAGCGAACAGG
rnacentral:rRNA from 1 species